AAGGAUUUAAAAUAGAUCUGUUACUCUGUUGUGGUGAUUUUCAAGCAAUUAGAGAUCAAGAUGAUCUUAACUGUAUGGCAGUCCCUGACAAGUAUAAGGAAAUUGGAUCCUUCCACAAAUCGCAGGGUUUUUGGGAGGAGCAUUUGUCCCCUUGGCUUCGGAUUGAACUUGAUGUAUUUGAUCAGUCAUUUUAACUAUAAUUCCUAUUUAUAUUCAAAAUGCUAGAAACCUCUACUCCAUCAAGUUCACUGAUAAAUCUUCUUUAUGGUGAAGAUGAUGAUGAGAAGGUUAGGCCUCCUUUGACAAUACAGCUACCAUCUUCCCCCAGACCAACACACUGAGCUGUUAAAUCUAAAAGAGCUUCAUCAAUAGUACGAUCCCCAUAUUUGGCAGCUGUUGCUCCACCACGUCAAUCUGUUGUACCUCGUCACUCUCCAUCAACUAAAAGAUCAUCACCAGUCAAAGCUACACAGGUUUACAAAAAUGGAUUAUUCGUACCUAUCAAAAGAAAAUCAGCUUCAAACAAAGCAACUGAUGUUGAUUCUACAGUGGAUUAUGCUGGUAAGACUGCACUGGAUCUUCGUGAUGAGCUAACGGCA